rnacentral:rRNA from 1 species
AGUGAACGCUGGCGGUAGGCCUAACACAUGCAAGUCGAACGGCAGCACAGGAGAGCUUGCUCUCUGGGUGGCGAGUGGCGGACGGGUGAGGAAUACAUCGGAAUCUACUUUUUCGUGGGGGAUAACGUAGGGAAACUUACGCUAAUACCGCAUACGACCUACGGGUGAAAGCAGGGGACCUUCGGGCCUUGCGCGAUUGAAUGAGCCGGUGUCGGAUUAGCUAGUUGGCGGGGUAAAGGCCCACCAAGGCGACGAUCCGUAGCUGGUCUGAGAGGAUGAUCAGCCACACUGGAACUGAGACACGGUCCAGACUCCUACGGGAGGCAGCAGUGGGGAAUAUUGGACAAUGGGCGCAAGCCUGAUCCAGCCAUACCGCGUGGGUGAAGAAGGCCUUCGGGUUGUAAAGCCCUUUUGUUGGGAAAGAAAUCCAGCUGGCUAAUACCCGGUUGGGAUGACGGCACCCAAAGAAUAAGCACCGGCUAACUUCGUGCCAGCCGCCGCAGUAA